CUACAACAUGACGAACUGUAUUAAAGGGUCACAGUGUUAGGAAGGUUGAGAACUGCAGCUCUAAAGCAUGAGAAGGUAGAUAAGAACCAGUGUCCAGAUUAGACCAGCAUGGCUUCUGAAGAUAACAACUAUUGCCAACUACAAUAGGCUAUUCAAAGCUGGAGGACUUUGCACUUUGCUAAAUGUAGCUUGUUUGUGGCUUUGUUCCUUGAAAAAAAAUAUUUCUUUAAUACAUUUUAAAAUGUGCUUUAAUUUAAGUUGUAAUUUGGGUUGAACUCUUGUCCAACAUGUGCUAGGCCUCAACACCACCAAAAGAAAAAGACAAAAGUCUUCACUUCAACUUGUUUAUUAUUAUUUUAAUAUACAUUUUUAUUUUUGUUCUUAUGUGCAUUGCAAUUAAGAUAAUUCUCUUAAUAAAAGAAACUUGAGAGUAUUUCCAAAAAAGUUAAAAAA
ensembl:sense_intronic Gm28404 predicted gene 28404